rnacentral:rRNA from 1 species
AACGAACGCUGGCGGCAUGCCUAACACAUGCAAGUCGAACGAGACCUUCGGGUCUAGUGGCGCACGGGUGCGUAACGCGUGGGAACCUGCCCUUAGGUUCGGAAUAACUCCCCGAAAGGGGUGCUAAUACCGGCUAAUGUCUUCGGACCAAAGAUUUAUCGCCUUUGGAUGGGCCCGCGUUGGAUUAGCUAGUUGGUAGGGUAAAAGCCUACCAAGGCGACGAUCCAUAGCUGGUCUGAGAGGAUGAUCAGCCACACUGGGACUGAGACACGGCCCAGACUCCUACGGGAGGCAGCAGUGGGGAAUAUUGGACAAUGGGCGAAAGCAUGAUCCAGCAAUGCCGCGUGAGUGAUGAAGGCCUUAGGGUUGUAAAGCUCUUUUACCCGGGAUGAUAAUGACAGUACCGGGAGUAUAAGCUCCGGCUAACUCCGUG